GGUAGUCCACCCCGUAAACGUUGGGAACUAGUUGUGGGGACCAUUCCACGGUUUCCGUGACGCAGCUAACGCAUUAAGUUCCCCGCCUGGGGAGUACGGCCGCAAGGCUAAAACUCAAAGGAAUUGACGGGGACCCGCACAAGCGGCGGAGCAUGCGGAUCAAUUCGAUGCAACGCGAAGAACCUUACCAAGGCUUGACAUAUACGAGAACGGGCCAGAAAUGGUCAACUCUUUGGACACUCGUAAACAGGUGGUGCAUGGUUGUCGUCAGCUCGUGUCGUGAGUUGUUGGGUUAAGUCCCGCAACGAGCGCAACCCUCGUUCUAUGUUGCCAGCACGUAAUGGUGGGAACUCAUGGGAUACUGCCGGGGUCAACUCGGAGGAAGGUGGGGAUGACGUCAAAUCAUCAUGCCCCUUAUGUCUUGGGCUUCACGCAUGCUACAAUGGCCGGUACAAAGGGCUGCAAUACCGUGAGGUGGAGCGAAUCCCAAAAAGCCGGUCCCAGUUCGGAUUGAGGUCUGCAACUCGACCUCAUGAAGUCGGAGUCGCUAGUAAUCGCAGAUCAGCAACGCUGCGGUGCAUACGUUCCCGGGUCUUGUACACACCGCCCGUCAAGUCAUGAAAGUCGGUAACACCUGAAGCCGGUGGCCCAACCCUUGUGGAGGGAGCCGUCGAAGGUGGGAUCGGUAAUUAGGACUAAGUCGUAACAAGGUAGCCGUACCGGAAGGUGC
rnacentral:rRNA from 1 species